rnacentral:tRNA from 1 species
GGAACGACUGGGAGGGCGUCCACUGGGCCGAACACCCCGAGCGGUACGACGGGAUGAUGGGCGCGUUCAACGCGCCCCUGUUCGC